CAGCAGCCGCGGGAAUACGUAGGGUCCGAGCGUUGUCCGGAAUUAUUGGGCGUAAAGGGCUCGUAGGCGGUUUGUCGCGUCGGGAGUGAAAACCAGCAGCUUAACUGCUGGCCUGCUUUCGAUACGGGCAGACUUGAGGCAUUCAGGGGAGAACGGAAUUCCUGGUGUAGCGGUGAAAUGCGCAGAUAUCAGGAGGAACACCGGUGGCGAAGGCGGUUCUCUGGGAAUGUUCUGACGCUGAGGAGCGAAAGUGUGGGGAGCGAACAGGAUUAGAUACCCCGGUAGUCCCUGUCUCUUAUAC
rnacentral:rRNA from 1 species